GACGGGGGAUGCAAGCGAUAUCCGGAAUCACUGGGCGUAAAGCGUCUGUAGGUGGUGAUGCAAGUCACUGGUGCAAAACUCUGGCUCAACCGGAGGAAAGCCAGUGAAACUGCAUGACUAGAGUGUGGGAGAGGUAGAAGGAAUUCCCUGAGUAGCGGUGAAAUGCGUAGAUACAGGGAAGAACACCGGAGGCGAAAGCGUUCUACUGGAACACAACUGACACUGAGAGGCGAAAGCUAGGGGAGCGAAGGGG
rnacentral:rRNA from 1 species